rnacentral:rRNA from 1 species
GAGUUUGAUCCUGGCUCAGAUUGAACGCUGGCGGCAGGCCUAACACAUGCAAGUCGAGCGGAUGACGGGAGCUUGCUCCUUGAUUCAGCGGCGGACGGGUGAGUAAUGCCUAGGAAUCUGCCUGGUAGUGGGGGACAACGUUUCGAAAGGAACGCUAAUACCGCAUACGUCCUACGGGAGAAAGCAGGGGACCUUCGGGCCUUGCGCUAUCAGAUGAGCCUAGGUCGGAUUAGCUAGUUGGUGGGGUAAUGGCUCACCAAGGCGACGAUCCGUAACUGGUCUGAGAGGAUGAUCAGUCACACUGGAACUGAGACACGGUCCAGACUCCUACGGGAGGCAGCAGUGGGGAAUAUUGGACAAUGGGCGAAAGCCUGAUCCAGCCAUGCCGCGUGUGUGAAGAAGGCCU